GGAUGAUACCUUGGCAAAGGCAAGAAAUACAGAGGAUUAAUAGCAAUGACUGUAAGUGGAAAAAUCUGUCAAAGAUGGGACCGUCAAACUCCACACCAACAUUCUCGAACAAAAGACAACUAUCCUCACUCAGGACUAGAUGCAAACUUUUGUCGUAAUCCAGACAACGAGGCGAGACCAUGGUGCUACACUACGGAUUCAGAAAAGAGAUGGGAGUUUUGCGAGAUACCAAGUUGUUAAGAAUAAGAACGAAAAUGAAAGAUACUCAUCAAAGAUCAAAAGGAUUAAUAUUCAAUAAUCGGAAAAUUCUAUAAAAACAAAAAAGUUUAGAAUCGAGUGAAUAACAA